CACUAGCGUAUAUUAAAGUUGUUGCAGUUAAAAAGCUCGUAGUUGGAUUUCUGACAUGGUGCGCCUGGUCCGCCCCGUAAAGGUGUGUGAGUACCGGCGUGCGCCUGUCAUCCUUCCGCAGAGCGUGUCUACCCUUCACUGGGCCGGGCAUCGCGAUGUGGAUCGUUUACUUUGAAAAAAUUAGAGUGUUCAAAGCAGGCUUACGCUGUGAAUACAUUAGCAUGGAAUAAUAAGAUAGGGCUUUGGUUCUAUUUUGUUGGUUUCUAGGACUGAAGUAAUGAUUGAUAGGGAUAGUUGGGGGUGCUAGUAUUCAACGGCCAGGGGUGAAAUUCUUGGAUUCGUUGAAGACUAACUUAUGCGAAAGCAUUCACCAAGGAUGUCUUCUUUAA
rnacentral:rRNA from 1 species